GCCCCAUUUCAGUUUUGGGGAGACCAGUUCAUGAGAAAAUAUAUUUUACUUUGGCAGAGUGCCAACAACAGACUUCAGGCCUUAGAGGAGAGUGAGGUGGGCAUGAUGUCUUCUUCCACACCAGAGACCUACACUUUGGUGCAGAUGCUGAAAUAUGUCGUGCUACUGAGAAAGGACAGCCCAAAGAAGAAGGACCAGAAUGAAGAAUUCAGGAUCAGUCUUGGCACAAGCCAUGAAAAAGCAAGCGCAAGACAGAUUGAGGCAUACUGGCUCUGCAAUAUAAGCCUGUGUCUGCAAUGCAGUGCACGCUGCAGGUCUCCCAAGAUGAAGGAAGUUCAAACUGCUGAAGAUUGA
rnacentral:lncRNA from 1 species